UACGUAGGCAGCAAGCGUUGUUCGGAAUUACUGGGCGUAAAGGGUGUGUAGGCGGUUGUUUAAGUUUGGUGUGAAAUCUCCCGGCUCAACUGGGAGGGUGCGCCGAAUACUGAAUGACUAGAGUGCGGGAGAGGAAAGUGGAAUUCCUGGUGUAGCGGUGAAAUGCGUAGAUAUCAGGAGGAACACCGGUGGUGUAGACGGCUUUCUGGACCGUAACUGACGCUGAGACACGAAAGCGUGGGUAGCAAACAGG
rnacentral:rRNA from 1 species